AGGAAACAAGUUAAGGGCGUAUGGUGGAUGCCUAGGCUUAAAAAGGCGAUGAAGGACGCGGCGUGGCGGCGAUACGCUUCGGGGAGGUGCCAAGCAACCUUUGAUCCGGAGAUGUCCGAAUGAGGAAACUCAGCAGAAAGAGAUUUCUGUUACUUUUGGUUU
rnacentral:rRNA from 1 species